rnacentral:rRNA from 1 species
CAGGCCAAUGCCGUAUCUCUUUUGAACUGGAACCUUCUGGAAAGUUGGGCCUGAGUGGGUGAUAGCCCCGUACAGGUAGGAAAGAGACGCGGAUCCUNGAGUAGGGCGGGACACGUGAAAUCCUGUCUGAACNNGGGGGGACCACCCUCCAAGCCUAAGUACUCNUNNAUGACCGAUAGUGAACNAGUACCGUGAGGGAAAGGUGAAAAGCACCCCGACGAGGGGAGUGAAAUAGACCCUGAAACCGNAUGCCUACAAUCAGUNGGAGCCCCUUUAGGGGUGACNGCGUACCUUUUGUAUAAUGGGUCAGUGACUUAGUCUGGCNAGCAAGCUUAANCCGUUAGGUGUAGGCGCAGCGAAAGCGAGUCUGAACAGGGCGUUCAGUUNGUNGGAUUAGACCCGAAACCGAGUGAUCUAGAUAUGAGCAGGUUGAAGGUGCGGUAACACGCACUGGAGGACCGAACCCACUAAUGUUGAAAAAUUAGGGGAUGACUUGUGUCUAGGGGUGAAAGGCCAAUCAAACUCGGAAAUAGCUGGUUCUCCGCGAAAUCUAUUUAGGUAGAGCGUCGCACUUAUACUCUCGGGGGUAGAGCACUGGAUGGGCUAGGGGGCCUCACCGCUUACCAAACCUAACCAAACUCCGAAUACCGAGAAGUACUAUGCGGCAGACACACCACGGGUGCUAAGGUCCGUGGUGGAGAGGGAAAGAGCCCAGACCGCCAUCUAAGGUCCCCAAGUUAUGACUAAGUGGGAAAGGAAGUGGAACGGCCAAAACAACCAGGAGGUUGGCUUAGAAGCAGCCAUCCUUUAAAGAAAGCGUAACAGCUCACUGGUCUAAAUAAGCUAUUCUGCGCCGAAAAUGUAACGGGGCUAAAGUCAUACACCGAAGAUGCGGGCGUGCUAGCUUGCUAGCACGCGGUAGCGGAGCGUUCCCUAGGCCUGUGAAGGCGCCACGCGAGUGGNGCUGGAGGUAUGGGAAGUGAGAAUGCUGACAUGAGUAACGAUAAGGAGGGUGAGAAACCCUCCCGCCGAAAGUCCAAGGGUUCCUGCGCAAUGCUAAUCAGCGCAGGGUUAGCCGGCCCCUAAGGCGAGGGCGAAAGCCGUAGUCGAUGGGAACGGGGUUAAUAUUCCCCGGCCAGUGGGUAGUGACGAAUUGUGUAAGUUGUUCCUCCUUAUCGGAUUGGAGGGGCCGCGAAACAGUUCCAGGAAAUAGCUCCCACGUGAGACCGUACCCGAAACCGACACAGGUGGACUGGUAGAGUAUACCAAGGCGCUUGAGAGAACGAUGCUGAAGGAACUCGGCAAAAUGCCUCCGUAACUUCGGGAGAAGGAGGCCCGCCUUUGAGGCAACUCUUUGGCGGGGGCACAGACCAGGGGGUAGCGACUGUUUAUUAAAAACACAGGGCUCUGCGAAGUCGCAAGACGACGUAUAGGGUCUGACGCCUGCCCGGUGCCGGAAGGUUAAGAGGAGAGGUGCAAGCUUUGAAUCGAAGCCCCGGUAAACGGCGGCCGUAACAAUAACGGUCCUAAGGUAGCGAAAUUCCUUGUCGGGUAAGUUCCGACCUGCACGAAUGGCGUAACGACUUCCCCGCUGUCUCCAGCAUCGACUCAGUGAAAUUGAACUCCCCGUGAAGAUGCGGGGUUCCUGCGGUNAGACGGAAAGACCCCGUGCACCUUUACUAUAGCUUUGCAGUGGCAUUAGUGNCGGCAUGUGUAGNAUAGGUGGUAGNCUUUGAAGCNNNGGCGCCAGUNNNNGUGGAGNCNCNNUGUGAAAUACCACCCUUAUCNUCAUUGAUGUCUAACCGCGGACCGUUAUCCGGUUCCGGGACCCUGCAUGGUGGGUAGUUUGACUGGGGCGGUCGCCUCCCAAAG